CCGCGUCCGCAACCCCUUCCAUCGCGCGAUCAUCGCAGAAAAAAAUAGAAACUGGCCGCCCUCACCUUCCUUCGCCUGCAGCCCCGAUGCCUUCCUUUCUUGCGCCGCCACCACACCGCACGACGCCCGGCAGCCCCAUCUCCUCCCUGUACCUUGCCGUCGAGUAGGCGGAAGCUCCUCCGUCACCUCCUCCACGAUCAUCUUGUCCUCUCCCCUGUUCGAGAUCUGAUUGUCCUCCUGCACGCUGAUUCCCCGCAACAUCGCGGCCGCCCUACACCUACACGCGAGCCCGCCGCCGGCACGGGAGCCUGCCCGCCGUCACCCCAAGCCCGCCUCUGCUGAGGCUGUUGCCAUGUGAGCCUGCCGUCCCCGCGAGAACCGGCUUCCGCUGAGGACUCCGCCAUGCGAACCCGCGGCCGCUGCACCACGGGAGCCUGCCCGCCGUCGCCCCAAGCCCGCCUCCGCUGAGGCCGUUGCCAUGUGAGCCCGCCGUCGCCGCGCGAACCGGCUUGAGCUGAGGCAUCCGCCACAACACGUUUUUUUCUUAAAAAGUGCAGAUCCAAUAGGACCGUAGGUAAUAUUCAUUUAUCCAUGUUGCGAUUAUUUGCAUGCAUAUAGAUCUGGAUGUUAACGCUGUAAUCAACACUUGGGUGCACCGAUUGCACUACUUGGGGGGUACUUUGGGGGUUAGCUUACAGAUUCGAAGCGCUGCUUUGGUGUUGUUCUUUGUAUGCUUCGAAUUUAUAUUAUUUUUCUCUCCCUGAUCAAGAUUCUAGCAGAGUGUGGAGGUGGAAUGUGCAGGAUUGUGAUUCAGCUGUUGUAGAAAUUUGUCACAAGAGCUUACUGAACAGUUUUUUUCAUCAUACUUCUUAUUCUCCAUUAUUGAUUCUCGAACUGCUCUCAGGGUCUGGUCUGUACUGUGGAUGCUGUGAGCACAUGAUGUUUGUGGUAAUAUUCCCAGAAACAAGUGAUCGACGCAACGUGGUACUAAUUGAUGCAUCUCUUGUAUAAUUUUCUUAUUCUGACUUAGUUGUUAACUUGUUAUAAAGGUUAACUGAUUCGGAAGUUACCAAAGGAGCUCCGGGUGGGGGAUUUUAAUCAUAAAAGAUGGUUCUUUUUCCGCUCGAAGUAACAGUUCAGCGACUUUAUUUCAAGGGCAUAUGUUCUCAUUGGUUACCUGAAGUCAGUUUGCUCUUGAUUUUAUCUUCACUCAUUGAUAGGUUACAUACGAAUCGAUUUCAUCAUAUUUUGUAUUGUCAUAUGUGAUUUAAUUGGCUCAAGUUGUCGGUAUUCGUCGAAUAAGGUUCUACAAAUAUUUUCAGCAAUUAACUCUAUAUAUGGUUGCCAGACUAAGUUGCAUGAGCAAGAAUGCAUGUUUUGCUGCUUUUUUUUUGCAGAUUUUUAGUCAAUGAAAUAAAUGGUUAUAGGGAUGUAUGUUCGGUAUAAUUGGACUGCAGUUCUAUGAUCCCUAUCCAUUGAGGUUUGGCAAGUUAUAAAAAAAUAGGGUGAAGGAGAACAUCUAGCUCACGAGGGGGCUUCACAUGGUCGCCGAUAUCCAAUACCUUCAUUAUCGUGAGGCGCUCAUGUGGAAGUGCAAGCGGGACUAUGAGGAAUCACAGAAUAACGAGGAAUCGAAGUUCAUAUUUGGGAAGGAAAAUAUUACACUAAAUAAAAAAGUCAACGAUGUGCCAAAAUGCUAUUAUGGAGAUGUGAACUGUGAUCCAUGCCUUUGUACAUAGCAAUCACCUGUAAGUACCAGUUUGUUGGUUGCACCAUCUUAUUUCGUGCCAUAAUUUACACUUCCAUUUUCUGUGGAGAGACAAAAUUUUGUUAAUUUGUCUCGGACCAUUUUUUGUUCAUAGCUGGCUGGCUUAAGAAUGUUUGAAUUUUUUUUGUUAACGUCAAAUUAAGAAAUGCAUCAACUUGUUGUAAUUUCCAUUGCUACACUGUGUAGUUGAUGUGUUUAAUGA